rnacentral:rRNA from 1 species
CCUACGGGGGGCUGCAGUGGGGAAUAUUGGACAAUGGGGGCAACCCUGAUCCAGCCAUGCCGCGUGUGUGAAGAAGGCCCUCGGGUUGUAAAGCACUUUCAGUGAGGAAGAACGCCUGGUGGUUAAUACCCAUCAGGAAAGACAUCACUCACAGAAGAAGCACCGGCUAACUCCGUGCCAGCAGCCGCGGUAAUACGGAGGGUGCGAGCGUUAAUCGGAAUUACUGGGCGUAAAGCGCGCGUAGGUGGCUUGAUAAGCCGGUUGUGAAAGCCCCGGGCUCAACCUGGGAACGGCAUCCGGAACUGUCAAGCUAGAGUGCAGGAGAGGAAGGUAGAAUUCCCGGUGUAGCGGUGAAAUGCGUAGAGAUCGGGAGGAAUACCAGUGGCGAAGGCGGCCUUCUGGACUGACACUGACACUGAGGUGCGAAAGCAUGGGUAGCAAACAGGAUUAGAUACCCGUGUAGUC